UGAAUCAAUGGGACCUCAUGGUCAUCGGACGGCUGUUAUAUACUUUAAAGAACGAGCUACUCCAAAAAAAUACCCGCGCCUUCCAGGUACUCCUUCCAAGAUGCCCUUGUGAGAAGCGUGUUAUUGUUGGUGUAGACCUUUUGCAACUGCUAAAAUCUGAAAAUCACAACUGAUCUAUAUCAGAGGUCAUCAACUGGAAGAUGUCUUUGUUAGAAGCACAGAGUAAUCGUGCUACCUUACAAUCAUAUCCUCACUCUGCUGUUUUGGGCAACUAAUUAGCUUGUCCUACACUCCUACUCGUCAUAUAUUUAAAACGGAUGGGAGUAGUUUCUAACAGGAUUCAGUAACUCUGCUCAAUCGAAUGAGACUGAAAAGUUUAUUGGUGUUCAUGCAACUGUCAGAACUGGACAUUUUCACGAAGUGCAAUAGGUUGAUGUACCAAUUGUAUGAAUCCUCAGUUCCUUUCAUGACUUGUAUCUUGUGGACGGUUUGGAAUUGGAUAGUUCUUGAAUAAGAAACUAGCAAAUGAGACCUUUAGGAUA